UGCUGUUUUAUGAUGGAUGUUGGCUCCAACC
rnacentral:piRNA from 1 species